GAACGCUAGCUACAGGCUUAACACAUGCAAGUCGAGGGGCAGCGCAGUGUAGCAAUACAUGGGCGGCGACCGGCGCACGGGUGCGUAACGCGUAUCCAACCUUCCCGUUACUCAGGGGAUAGCCUUCCGAAAGGGAGAUUAAUACCUGAUGGUGUUUGAAUUUCCGCAUGUUAUUCAAACUAAAGAUUUAUCGGUAACGGAUGAGGAUGCGUCUGAUUAGGUAGAUGGCGGGGUAACGGCCCACCAUGCCUACGAUCAGUAGGGGUUCUGAGAGGAAGGUCCCCCACAUUGGAACUGAGACACGGUCCAAACUCCUACGGGAGGCAGCAGUGAGGAAUAUUGGUCAAUGGACGAGAGUCUGAACCAGCCAAGUAGCGUGAAGGAUGACUGCCCUAUGGGUUGUAAACUUCUUUUGUAAGGGAGCAAUAAGUCUCACGUGUGGGAUGAUGAGAGUACCUUACGAAUAAGCAUCGGCUAACUCCGUG
rnacentral:rRNA from 1 species